GGACACUGAGGUCCUUAGAGGCUCCUAGAGCCACAAGCUAGAAGGAGCCUUGGUCACCACGGAGAAGAGCCACCUGCGAACCAGGAACACCUGCGUUGGACUGUUACCAGCGUGAACAUUGAUAUUAGGCUAAGCCACUUAAAUGGCCCCUCCCCUCAGGCCAACCACAGAGAGAGGAUGGGGUCCUCAAGUCUGAUGGGUCCCCAGGCAGACCCUGGAUAAGUAAGCUCACCUCCUCCCUGACUGAGGGAACCAUGGAGGCCCCCGCAGCCAUCCUAUUCUACUCAGCUCCGGGCUGGAGCUGGGCUUGGGGCCACCUCUGAGCCUUCCCUCCUCCCACCCCGACACCCAUCUUCUCCCAUGUGCACCCCAGUGGCCGCUGCUCUGGGCAGACCUCAUGGUGUCUCACUCAGAAGUCAGCAGUAGCCUCCAACUCUUCUAAUGCAGCGUGCAUUUACGCCACAGAGACCUUUCUGAAGAUGCCUAUCCUGUAACCCCCUCCCUGCUCUAAAGCCUUCAGUAGCUCCUCACUGCCUUCCAGGUCAAGCCCAUUUUCCCACUCACUCCAGC
rnacentral:lncRNA from 1 species